rnacentral:rRNA from 1 species
UACGUAGGGGGCAAGCGUUGUCCGGAUUUAUUGGGCGUAAAGAGCGUGUAGGCGGUCAGGUAGGUCCGUUGUGAAAACUCGAGGCUCAACCUCGAAGACGCCGAUGGAAACCAUCUGACUAGAGUCCGGAAGAGGAGAGUGGAAUUCCUGGUGUAGCGGUGAAAUGCGCAGAUAUCAGGAAGAACACCAAUGGCGAAGGCAGCUCUCUGGGAACGGUACUGACGGCUGAGACGCGAAAGCGUGGGGAGCGA